rnacentral:misc_RNA from 1 species
UUAAGUACCUGCCUUCACUCAUUG